CCUGCGGCUUAAUUUGAAUCAACACGGGAAAACUUACCAGGUCCAGACAUAGUAAGGAUUGACAGAUUGAGAGAUCUUUAUUGAUUCUAUGGGUGGUGGUGCAUGGCCGUUCUUAGUUGGUGGAGCGAUUUGUCUGGUUAAUUCCGAUAAUGAACGAGACUGUUAUCACUAAAAUUUCAUUCGCACAUGGUUACAAGAACUCAGCAUCAUCAAUCAGUGAUGAAGUCAUCCAUGGACCUGAAUUAACACCAAAGCAUUCAUAAAGGGUCAAAAACUAUACAAAGUAGUGAAAAAUUGAAGGGCGCUAUGAAGACACUGGGUGCCUGUGCACAUGCGUG
rnacentral:ncRNA from 1 species